rnacentral:rRNA from 1 species
UACGGAGGGGGCCAGCGUUGUUCGGAAUUACUGGGCGUAAAGCGCGCGUAGGCGGCUUUGUAAGUUAGAGGUGAAAGCCCAGGGCUCAACCCUGGAAUUGCCUUUAAGACUGCAUCGCUUGAACAUCGGAGAGGUAAGUGGAAUUCCGAGUGUAGAGGUGAAAUUCGUAGAUAUUCGGAAGAACACCAGUGGCGAAGGCGACUUACUGGACGAUUGUUGACGCUGAGGUGCGAAAGCGUGGGGAGCAAACAGG